rnacentral:siRNA from 1 species
AUUGGUGUACCGGAAUUGUAUGUU